rnacentral:rRNA from 1 species
CGUACAGGGACGUACCAAAAGAGUCGUGUAGCUUGGGAAUGCUGCACUAAGAUAGGUGAUAAAUCUCAUCUAAGGCUAAAUACUGGUAGGAGACCGAUAGCAAACAAGUACCGUGAGGGAAAGUUGCAAAGCACUCUGAAAAGAGGGUGAAAAGAACCUGAAACCGUUAUGUUGAGAGCGUAUUGCAGCAGAGUGAAGGGUGCGUUUUGUUCAGCUUGCGCUUGCGUAGGUGUACUCAGAACGUUAUCCGCCAGUCGUGGGCUUCUGGUGGUCGAUUUAUUGGCUGCUGGGGGCUGAGGGCUCCCCUUUAUGGGUGAGGACGAACUCUGGAUAAUGCUGCGAUUCGACCCGUCUUGAAACACGGACCAAGAAGUCUAGCGUGCAUGCGAGUCAAAGGGUGUCAAAACCUGAGGGCGCAGCGAAAGCAAAACUUAAAAACGUUUUUUAGUUUGAGGCGGCAUACGAUCGUUGAUUGUAGGUCCGACCUUGAGCAUGUAUGCUAGGACCCGAAAGAUGGUGAACUAUGCUUGAGUAGGGUGAAGCCAGGAGAAAUCCUGGUGGAGGCUCGUAGCGGUGCUGACGUGCAAAUCGCUCGUCUAACUUGAGUAUAGGGGCGAAAGACUAAUCGAACCAUCUGGUAGCUGGUUUCCUCCGAAGUUUCUCUCAGGAUAGCGGACCGAUAUGAUGUUGUUGUGUGCGGUAAAGCGAAUGAUUAGCGUAUUUGGGGGAAUUUAUUCCUUCGGACGAUUCUCAAACUUUAAAUGCGCACGGAUGUUGCUGCUUCAUUGAGCGACUGUCGGGAAAAACAUCGGUUCCGUGGGCCAAUUUUGGUAAGCAGAACUGGCGAUAUGGGAUGAACCAUAAGCAUAGUUAAGGGGCCAAAUUGCCCGCUUAUAGAU